AGGGUUUGAUCAUGGCUCAGAACGUACGCUGGCGGCACGCCUAACACAUGCAAGUCGAACGCAGUAGCAAUACUGAGUGGCAGACGGGUGAGUAACAUGUGGGAAUCUGCCUUGUGGUUCAGGACAACAUUGGGAAACCGAUGCUAAUACUGGAUAAGCCCUUACGGGGAAAGUUUUAAUGCCAUAAGAUGAGCCCGCAUUUGAUUAGUUAGUUGGUGAGGUAAUGGCUCACCAAGACAAUGAUCAAUAGCUGAUCUGAGAGGAUGAUCAGCCACACUGGGACUGAGACACGGCCCAGACUCCUACGGGAGGCAGCAGUGGGGAAUCUUGCACAAUGGAGGAAACUCUGAUGCAGCGAUGCCGCGUGAGUGAAGAAGGCCUUUGGGUUGUAAAGCUCUUUUGUAGGGGAAGAUAAUGACUGUACCCUAAGAAUAAGGUCCGGCUAACUUCGUGCCAGCAGCCGCGGUAAUACGAAGGGACCUAGCGUAGUUCGGAAUUACUGGGCGUAAAGCGCGCGUAGGCCGUUGAGUUAGUUAAUUGUGAAAUCCCAAAGCUUAACUUUGGAACUGCAAUUAAAACUGCUCGACUAGAGUUUGAUAGAGGAAAGCGGAAUACAUAGUGUAGAGGUGAAAUUCGUAGAUAUUAUGUAGAACACCAGUUGCGAAGGCGGCUUUCUGGGUCAACACUGACGCUGAGGCGCGAAAGUAUGGGUAGCAAAGAGGAUUAGAUACCCUCGUAGUCCAUACCAUAAACGAUGAUUGCUAGAUGUUGGAAAUUUAUUUUCAGUAUCGCAGCUAACGCAUUAAGCAAUCCGCCUGGGGAGUACGACCGCAAGGUUAAAACUCAAAUGAAUUGACGGGGACCCGCACAAGCAGCGGAGCAUGCGGCUUAAUUCGACGCAACGCGAAGAACCUUACCAAGGCUUGACAUAUAGCGAAAAGUGGCAGAGAUGUCAUGUCCGCAAGGGCGCUAUACAGGUGGUGCAUGGUUGUCGUCAGCUCGUGUCGUGAGAUGUUGGGUUAAGUCCCGCAACGAGCGCAACCCUCGUUCUGUGUUACCAGCAUUUAGUUGGGGACUCACAGGAGACUGCCGGGGUCAACUCGGAGGAAGGUGGGGAUGACGUCAAAUCAUCAUGCCCCUUAUGUCUUGGGCUGCACGCAUGCUACAAUGGCCGGUACAAAGUGCUGCGAGAUCGUAAGAUUGAGCGAAUCACAUAAAGCCGGUCUCAGUUCGGAUUGAGGUCUGCAACUCGACCUCAUGAAGUCGGAGUUGCUAGUAAUCGUAGAUCAGCAACGCUACGGUGAAUACGUUCCCGGGGCUUGUACACACCGCCCGUCACGUCACGAAAGUCGGUAACACCCAAAGUUAGUGGCCCAACCGCAAGGGGGGAGCUACCUAAGGUGGGAUCGGUGAUUGGGACGAAGUCGUAACAAGGUAACCGUA
rnacentral:rRNA from 1 species